ACGACGCUGGCGGCGUGCCUAACACAUGCAAGUCGAACGGAGAUAAGCGCUGAUGAAGUAGCUUGCUAUUGAUUCUUGCUUAUCUUAGUGGCGGACGGGUGAGUAACGCGUGAGCAACCUGCCUUUCAGAGGGGGAUAACGUCUUGAAAAGGACGCUAAUACCGCAUGACAUUGCGAGAUCACAUGGUCUUGCAAUCAAAGGAGCAAUCCGCUGAAAGAUGGGCUCGCGUCCGAUUAGAUAGUUGGCGGGGUAACGGCCCACCAAGUCGACGAUCGGUAGCCGGACUGAGAGGUUGAACGGCCACAUUGGGACUGAGACACGGCCCAGACUCCUACGGGAGGCAGCAGUGAGGGAUAUUGGUCAAUGGGGGAAACCCUGAACCAGCAACGCCGCGUGAGGGAUGACGGUCUUCGGAUUGUAAACCUCUGUCCUCUGUGAAGAUAAUGACGGUAGCAGAGGAGGAAGCUCCGGCUAACUACGUGCC
rnacentral:rRNA from 1 species